UGGAGGGUAACAAGUAAGCCUUUCUUUGCAUCCAUGAAACCCACUACAAAAGGUGCAAGCUAAAAGCUUCAUUUUGCCUGCUGAGGUUAUGUGAGUUUUUCAUAUCUUGAGAUGAGCAACUCUUUUUCUCCCUUGUGCAAACUCUUUGAAAUCAGGAGUGCAGUGUCCCGAAAUUGAUCUUGCACAUGCAGUUUAUGAGGCAACUUCUGCAAGACUUGAUUUUUUUCAGUGGUGAAAUCAGUCCAGGAUACUACUUGGGGAUUUUCAUAACUGCAUUAGUGAGU